rnacentral:pre_miRNA from 14 species
GUGUGUGUGUGAGUGUGUGUGUGUGUGUGUGUGUGUGUGUGUACCGAAGCCCCAUCCAGCCGACAUCCACACACUGACAGUC